rnacentral:lncRNA from 1 species
AAUAAUUAACUCUUUGCUCCUCAAAAUAGCUUCACACUUCACUGUAUGAUAUGUCUCUUUCGGGCAUUCUACUUCCUUCCUUGCUUACCCUUCGAAUUCUUUUGGCCGCUAAAGUUCCUGCAAACACAAGUAUAUAUAUAUAUUCAUCAACAAUUAGCCGUUUGCAUAGAGGAGAGCGGAAUAUAGGAACGAGAUCUGUGGUGUUUGUACGUACUUGUUGUUGGAUUUGUUGCCAGAUUUCGGGGAUUGGAACUUGUUGUUACCAUUGGCUGCUGCAGGUUUUCCAUUUUGCUUACCAAAAGGCGUUACUGGACCUUUCUUCUUACCAGCUG